rnacentral:misc_RNA from 1 species
UACAGAGGGUGCGAGCGUUAAUCGGAAUUACUGGGCGUAAAGGGCGCGUAGGUGGUGAGACAGGUGUGGUGUGAAAGCCCCGGGCUUAACCUGGGAAGCGCACCGCAAACGGUCUUGCUGGAGUACAGGAGAGGGUGGCGGAAUUUCCAGUGUAGCGGUGAAAUGCGUAGAGAUUGGAAGGAACGUCAGUGGCGAAGGCGGCCACCUGGACUGAUACUGACACUGAGGCGCGAAAGCGUGGGGAGCGAACAGG